rnacentral:rRNA from 1 species
CUACGGGAGGCAGCAGUGGGGAAUAUUGCACAAUGGGCGCAAGCCUGAUGCAGCCAUGCCGCGUGUAUGAAGAAGGCCUUCGGGUUGUAAAGUACUUUCAGCGGGGAGGAAGGGAGUAAAGUUAAUACCUUUGCUCAUUGACGUUACCCGCAGAAGAAGCACCGGCUAACUCCGUGCCAGCAGCCGCGGUAAUACGGAGGGUGCAAGCGUUAAUCGGAAUUACUGGGCGUAAAGCGCACGCAGGCGGUUUGUUAAGUCAGAUGUGAAAUCCCCGGGCUCAACCUGGGAACUGCAUCUGAUACUGGCAAGCUUGAGUCUCGUAGAGAGGGGUAGAAUUCCAGGUGUAGCGGUGAUAUGCGUAGAGAUCUGGAGGAAUACCGGUGGCGAAGGCGGCCCCCUGGACGAAGACUGACGCUUAGGUGCGAAAGCGUGGGGAGCAAACAGGAUUAGAUACCCGGGUAGUC